rnacentral:rRNA from 1 species
UGUUCUUUGUAACAUAGCGAACUGCUCAGUAACACGUGGAUAACCUACCCUUAGGACCGGAAUAACCCCGGGAAACUGGGGAUAAUACCGGAUAAGCCAUAGACGCUGGAAUGCCCUAUGGUUCAAAGCUCCGGCGCCUAAGGAUGGAUCUGCGGUCUAUCAGGUUGUAGUGGGUGUAACGUACCUACUAGCCGACGACGGAUACGGGUUGUGAGAGCAAGAGCCCGGAGAUGGAUUCUGAGACACGAAUCCAGGCCCUACGGGGUGCAGCAAGCGCGAACACUUUACAAUGCGGGAAACCGCGAUAAGGGAACCCCGAGUGCCAGCAUCAAAUGUUGGCUGUCCAGAUGAUUAAAAAUCAUUUGUUAGCAAGGGCCGGGCAAGACCGGUGCCAGCCGCCGCGGUAACACCGGCGGCCCGAGUGGUAGCCGUUUUUAUUGGGUCUAAAGGGUCCGUAGCCGGCCUGAUAAGUCUUUUGGGAAAUCUGACAGCUUAACUGUCAGGCUUCUAAGGGAUACUGUCAGGCUUGGGACCGGAAGAGGUAAGGGGUACUCCAGGGGUAGGAGUGAAAUCUUGUAAUCCCUGGGGGACCAUCUGUGGCGA